rnacentral:lncRNA from 12 species
ACAAAUUGCUGGUUUUACCUGGGGACUGUGAUACUGGAGACCUGCCUCAGCACCUGAUGGGAGUGCCAGCAGUGAUCCAAAAUUGGGGAAAAAAUCAGAUUCUAAAUCCCUAAAACUGGUUGCUAAAUUCCUACAACACAAAUAGAAGACAACUGGAUAUUCC